UACGUAGGGUGCAAGCGUUGUCCGGAAUUAUUGGGCGUAAAGAGCUUGUAGGCGGUUUGUCGCGUCUGCUGUGAAAUUUCGGGGCUCAACCCCGAACUUGCAGUGGGUACGGGCAGACUAGAGUGCGGUAGGGGAGACUGGAAUUCCUGGUGUAGCGGUGAAAUGCGCAGAUAUCAGGAGGAACACCGGUGGCGAAGGCGGGUCUCUGGCCCGGUACUGACGCUGAGGUGCGAAAGCGUGGGGAGCAAACAGG
rnacentral:rRNA from 1 species